CUGGUUCACUUCGUGUAGGGACUGAAAACCAAGUGAGGAGAUGGGUGUGUUUCCUGGUCGUGGAAGAAGUCCCUUGGGGUGGUUGACAGAAGGUUUUCUUUAGUCACUUAUGGGACGUAGACGUCGCUGGCAGAAGCAUUAUUGGCCGUCCUUAGUUGCCUUUGAGAAGCUGAUGGCGAGCUGCUUUUCUGAACCACUGCAGUCCACGUGCAGCCGUUUGAUCCACAAUCCCGUUCGGGAGGAAGCUCCAGCGUUUCACCCAGUGCCAGUGAAGGAAAGAUGAUAUGUUGCUAAGUCAGGAUGCCAACAUUUUGACAAUUGUGGUCCUAUCACAGGGAAAAUGUGAUCUCUCCAAAGGCAUCACUCGUUAUCUAGUAGCCAUGGCAAUGGCAGAUCUACUGGUUAUUAUCACUGAGGUCAUACUAUGGCGAAUCAGUUAUUUUUACUUUCCAGGAUCUUUCCUGGACAUGACUCCUGUGUGCAGUGCUAUUUUAGUCGUGCUUUAUGCGGCGAUAGAUUGUUCUGUUUGGUUCACAGUGUUCUUCACUUUGGAUAGACAUGUAGCCACUUGUUACCAGAAUCUGAAAACCAAAUAUUGCACGAAGAACGUUGCUACCGUGGUUGUAGCAACAGCAUGUACUUUGCUCUGUUUAAAGAAUGUCCCCUUCUAUUUUAUAUU